GCGAUCAUACCAGCAUUAAUGCACUGGAUCCCAUCAGAACUCCGAAGUUAAGCGUGCUUGGGCGAGAGCAGUACUAUGAUGGGUGACCCCCUGGGAAGUCCUCAUGAUGCACCU
rnacentral:rRNA from 1 species